rnacentral:rRNA from 1 species
AAUCAACGCUGGCGGCGCGCUUAACACAUGCAAGUCGAACGAGAAAGUGGAGCAAUCCAUGAGUAAAGUGGCGUACGGGUGAGUAACACGUGGAUAAUCUACCUCUUAGUGGGGAAUAACUUUGGGAAACCGAAGCUAAUACCGCAUAAGCCUGGAAAGGGAAAGCCGCAUCUUAAUAAAUGUGGCGCUGAGAGAGGAGUCCGCGGCCGAUUAGCUAGUUGGCAGGGUAAAGCCUACCAAGGCAUUGAUCGGUAGCCGGCCUGAGAGGGCACACGGCCACACUGGCACUGAAACACGGGCCAGACUCCUACGGGAGGCAGCAGUGGGGAAUCUUGCACAAUGGGGGCAACCCUGAUGCAGCGACGCCG